AGUAAAAGUCGUAACAAGGUUUCCGUAGGUGAACCUGCGGAAGGAUCAUUAUUGAAAAUAAACCUGAUGGGUUGCUGCUGGUUCAUUAAUGAACAUGUGCACACUUGUCAUCUUUAUAUCUCCACCUGUGCACCUUUUGUAGACCUAGACAAUUUUCUUAAUGCUAGCAUUAAAGUUUUUAGGAUUGACUUUUGUCUCUCCUUUAUAUUUCUGGGUCUAUGUCUAUUCAUAUGCCCUAAUGUAUGUUAAAGAAUGUAAUAAAGUGGGCCUUUGUGCCUAUAAUACUAUACAACUUUCAGCAACGGAUCUCUUGGCUCUCGCAUCGAUGAAGAACGCAGCGAAAUGCGAUAAGUAAUGUGAAUUGCAGAAUUCAGUGAAUCAUCGAAUCUUUGAACGCACCUUGCGCUCCUUGGUAUUCCGAGGAGCAUGCCUGUUUGAGUGUCAUUAAUAUAUCAACCUCUUUAGCUUUUGCUUUUUUGUGUUGGAUGUGGGGUUUUUUUGCUGGUCUUGUAAGAGAUCAGCUCCCUUCAAAUGCAUUAGCAGAACAAUUUGUUAAUCGUUCAUUAGUGUGAUAAUUAUCUAUGCUAUUAAUGUAAAGCAAGUUCAGCUUCUAACUGUCCAUUGACUUGGAUAAUCUUUAUUAAUGUGACCUCAAAUCAGGUAGGACUACCCGCUGAACUUAAGCAUAUCAAUAA
rnacentral:rRNA from 1 species